UUCCUUUUAACUCAGUGGUAGAGUAAUCCCAUGGUAAGGCGUAAGCCCUCGGUUCCAAUCCAAUAAGCGGCC
rnacentral:tRNA from 2 species